AGCCGCUGAUGACAUCUGCUAUUAAUUUUCUGACACCUCAUAUGAAUGCUGUAUUCAGCAGCUGAUUAUGAAAAUAUAGUCUGAGGCUC